GACGUAGGGUGCAAGCGUUGUCCGGAUUUACUGGGCGUAAAGAGCGCGUAGGCGGUCUGUUAAGUGGGAUGUGAAAUCCCCGGGCUUAACCUGGGAAUUGCAUUUCAAACUGGCCGACUAGAGUACGGUAGAGGGAGGUAGAAUUUCCUGUGUAGCGGUGAAAUGCGUAGAUAUAGGAAGGAAUACCAGUGGCGAAGGCGGCCUCCUGGAUCGAUACUGACGCUGAGGCGCGAAAGCGUGGGGAUCAAACAGG
rnacentral:rRNA from 1 species